rnacentral:rRNA from 1 species
GCCAGACUCCUACGGGAGGCAGCAGUGGGGAAUAUUGGGCAAUGGAGGGAACUCUGACCCAGCAACGCCGCGUGAAGGAUGAAGGUUUUCGGAUUGUAAACUUCUGUCGCGAGGGACGAAGAAUGACGGUACCUCGUAAGAAAGCCCCGGCUAACUACGUGCCAGCAGCCGCGGUAAUACGUAGGUGGCAAGCGUUGUCCGGAUUUACUGGGUGUAAAGGGCGUGUAGCCGGGUUGACAAGUCAGAUGUGAAAUCCUGCGGCUUAACCGCAGAACUGCAUUUGAAACUGUUGAUCUUGAGUACUGGAGAGGCAGACGGAAUUCCUAGUGUAGCGGUGAAAUGCGUAGAUAUUAGGAGGAACACCAGUGGCGAAGGCGGUCUGCUGGACAGCAACUGACGGUGAGGCGCGAAAGCGUGGGGAGCAAACAGGAUUAGAUACCCGUGUAC